rnacentral:piRNA from 1 species
UAUAAAGCUGAUGGCUCCUAGGAUCCCUGU